GCCAGUCGUGGUGGCUCAUGCCUGUAGUCCCAGCUACUCUGGAGGCUGGGGUAGGAGGAUCGUUUGAGCCCAGGAGUUCAAGGCUGCAGUGAGCUAUGAUUGUGCCACUGCACUUCAGCCUGGGUGACAGAGUGAGACCCUGUCUCUU
ensembl:misc_RNA Metazoa_SRP Metazoan signal recognition particle RNA